UACACGCUGUGACUAGCAUAUCAAUAAGCGGAGGAAAAGAAACUAACAAGGAUUCCCCUAGUAACGGCGAGUGAAGCGGGAAGAGCUCAAAUUUGAAAUCUUAAAGGGUUUCCCUUUACGAAUUGUAGUUUAAAGAAGUGUUUUCUGUUGAGGUUUUGGUAAAAGUUCUUUGGAAUAGGACAUCAUAGAGGGUGAGAAUCCCGUAUUUGACCUUUACUUUCAACUUUGUGAUACACUUUCAAAGAGUCGGAUUGUUUGGGAAUGCAGUCCAAAAUGGGUGGUAAAUUUCAUCUAAAGCUAAAUAUUGGCGAGAGACCGAUAGCGAACAAGUACCGUGAGGGAAAGAUGAAAAGAACUUUGAAAAGAGAGUUAAACAGUACGUGAAAUUGUCAAAAGGGAAGCGUUUGACACCAGUGUUGUUUUUCUGAAAAUCAAUUAAAGAACUGUUUAUGCUAAGUUGUUUAGACUUUAUCAGCUAACUGUUUAGUUUUGAGCUUUUCUUUAAUGCACUUUUCAGUUAACAAGUCAACAUCAAUUUCUUCUGCUGUAAAAAAGCUUGAGGAAGGUGGCUUGAGAUUCGUCUUAAGUGUUUAUAGCCUCUUGCCUAUGCAGUCGGAGAGAUUGAGGUCUGCAGCGUAGAUCCUUCGGGGCUAAAUGCAUUUGUGCUAAGUUAUAGCAUUUUAUAGACAACUUGUUGACUAUGAUUUGUCUUGUAGCUUACUCGCUUAUGUUAUUUUACCUACGCUUAGGAUGUUGACAGCAGUAUAGACUGU
rnacentral:rRNA from 1 species